rnacentral:rRNA from 1 species
GACGAACGCUGGCGGCGUGCCUAAUACAUGCAAGUAGAACGCUGAAGGAGGAGCUUGCUUCUCUGGAUGAGUUGCGAACGGGUGAGUAACGCGUAGGUAACCUGCCUGGUAGCGGGGGAUAACUAUUGGAAACGAUAGCUAAUACCGCAUAAGAGUAGAUGUUGCAUGACAUUUGCUUAAAAGGUGCAAUUGCAUCACUACCAGAUGGACCUGCGUUGUAUUAGCUAGUUGGUGGGGUAACGGCUACCAAGGCGACGAUACAUAGCCGACCUGAGAGGGUGAUCGGCCACACUGGGACUGAGACACGGCCCAGACUCCUACGGGAGGCAGCAGUAGGGAAUCUUCGGCAAUGGACGGAAGUCUGACCGAGCAACGCCGCGUGAGUGAAGAAGGUUUUCGGAUCGUAAAGCUCUGUUGUAAGAGAAGAACGAGUGUGAGAGUGGAAAGUUCACACUGUGACGGUAUCUUACCAGAAAGGGACGGCUAACUACGUG